GCGUGACUGAAUGCUGUGUUCUUUUUAUCAAUAUUUUACACAUUCAGACACGGUGCAAAAGUAAAGUUUUCCCUUGAAAUGGCUUUUGAUGGUAUGCUGCUUUUCUGUGGCAUAUCAUUAUAAGAAAAAAAAA
rnacentral:snoRNA from 1 species